GACGAACGCUGGCGGCGUGCCUAAUACAUGCAAGUUGAGCGCUGAAGGUUGGUACUUGUACCAACUGGAUGAGCAGCGAACGGGUGAGUAACGCGUGGGGAAUCUGCCUUUGAGCGGGGGACAACAUUUGGAAACGAAUGCUAAUACCGCAUAAAAACUUUAAACACAAGUUUUAAGUUUGAAAGAUGCAACUGCAUCACUCAAAGAUGAUCCCGCGUUGUAUUAGCUAGUUGGUGAGGUAAAGGCUCACCAAGGCGAUGAUACAUAGCCGACCUGAGAGGGUGAUCGGCCACAUUGGGACUGAGACACGGCCCAAACUCCUACGGGAGGCAGCAGUAGGGAAUCUUCGGCAAUGGACGAAAGUCUGACCGAGCAACGCCGCGUGAGUGAAGAAGGUUUUCGGAUCGUAAAACUCUGUUGGUAGAGAAGAACGUUGGUGAGAGUGGAAAGCUCAUCAAGUGACGGUAACUACCCAGAAAGGGACGGCUAACUACGUG
rnacentral:rRNA from 1 species